rnacentral:tRNA from 20 species
GGCUCGGUAGCUCAGUCGGUAGAGCAAAGGACUGAAAAUCCUUGUGUCGGCAGUUCGAUUCUGCCCCGCGCCACCA